rnacentral:rRNA from 1 species
GUUUUAUUUUGGCUCAAGAUUAACCGCGGGCGGGUUGCUUACCACAAGCAAGUCGACGGGGUCCCGCCGGUUUUUGUUGGUGGGUGAGAGUGCGAAACGGGUGAGUAAUGCGUGACCGACCUGCCCCCAUACACCGGAAUAGCUCCUGGAAACGGGUGGUAAUGCCGGAUGCUCCAGUUGAUCGCAUGGUCUUCUGGGAAAGCUUUCGCGGUAUGGGAUGGGGUCGCGUCCUAUCAGCUUGACGGCGGGGUAACGGCCCACCGUGGCUUCGACGGGUAGCCGGCCUGAGAGGGCGACCGGCCACAUUGGGACUGAGAUACGGCCCAGACUCCUACGGGAGGCAGCAGUGGGGAAUAUUGCACAAUGGGCGCAAGCCUGAUGCAGCGACGCCGCGUGAGGGAUGGAGGCCUUCGGGUUGUAAACCUCUUUUAUCGGGGAGCAAGCGAGAGUGAGUUUACCCGUUGAAUAAGCACCGGCUAACUACGUGCCAGCAGCCGCGGUAAUACGUAGGGUGCAAGCGUUAUCCGGAAUUAUUGGGCGUAAAGGGCUCGUAGGCGGUUCGUCGCGUCCGGUGUGAAAGUCCAUCGCUUAACGGUGGAUCCGCGCCGGGUACGGGCGGGCUGGAGUGCGGUAGGGGAGACUGGAAUUCCCGGUGUAACGGUGGAAUGUGUAGAUAUCGGGAAGAACACCAAUGGCGAAGGCAGGUCUCUGGGCCGUUACUGACGCUGAGGAGCGAAAGCGUGGGGAGCGAACAGGAUUAGAUACCCUGGUAGUCCACGCCGUAAACGGUGGAUGCUGGAUGUGGGGCCCGUUCCACGGGUUCCGUGUCGGAGCUAACGCGUUAAGCAUCCCGCCUGGGGAGUACGGCCGCAAGGCUAAAACUCAAAGAAAAUUGACGGGGGCCCGCACAAGCGGCGGAGCAUGCGGAUUAAUUCGAUGCAACGCGAAGAACCUUACCUGGGCUUGACAUGUUCCCGACCGCUCCAGAGAUGGGGCUUCCCUUCGGGGCGGACAAGCUUCAGGCCUAGAU